rnacentral:rRNA from 1 species
GACGGAGGAUGCAAGCGUUAUCCGGAAUCACUGGGCGUAAAGCGUCUGUAGGUGGUUUAAUAAGUCAACUGUUAAAUCUUGAGGCUCAACCUCAAAAUCGCAGUCGAAACUAUUAGGCUAGAGUAUAGUAGGGGUAAAGGGAAUUUCCAGUGGAGCGGUGAAAUGCGUAGAUAUUCGGAAGAACACCAGUGGCGAAGGCGGCUCACUGGACUGGUAUUGACGCUGAGGUGCGAAAGCGUGGGGAGCAAACAGG